CAAGUAUUGAGAAGAAGGAAGAUUGGGUCAUAAAUUUGGUAGAAAAUUGGAGUUAUUUUUAUGAACUUGGAGAGAUAUUUUAUUGUAACUCAUUUUGUAAUAUAUUGUUUAAAAUUCUUGAUUUGUAGUGGAUACGAGAGAUGUUAUAUCUCCUAAAGUAGAUUGUUGUUAUCAAAUUGGUUAAACAAUUUUUGUGUGUACAAGUUUAAU
rnacentral:lncRNA from 1 species